CCCUUAGAUGCUCUGGGCCGCACGCGCGCUACACUGGUCGAUGCAACGAGUUUCUUUCCUUGGCCGACAGGCCUGGGCAAUCUUUGAACAUCGAUCGUGAUCGGGAUAGAUUCUUGUAAUUUUUGAUCUUAAACGAGGAAUUCCUAGUAAACGCAAGUCAUCAGCUUGCAUUGAUUACGUCCCUGCCCUUUGUACACACCGCCCGUCGCACCUACCGAUUGAAUGGUCCGGUGAAAUCUCCGGACUGGCGUGAGUCGGAGCAAUCUGACAAACACCGGAAAGUUGAUUAAACCUUACCAUUUAGAGGAAGGCGAAGUCGUAACA
rnacentral:rRNA from 1 species